rnacentral:rRNA from 1 species
AUACCGGGCCUUUUUGGGCUUGGUAAUUGGAAUGAGGGAGAGUUAAACGGACCAUCGAGUAUCCAUUGGAGGGCAAGUCUGGUGCCAGCAGCUGCGGUAAUACCAGCUCCAAUAGCGUAUAUUAAAGUUGCUGCAGUUAAAAAGCUCGUAGUUGGACUUGUGUGCGCUGUCCGCGGGUGGCCUGCGCCCAAAAGGGCGUUUCGGUUCGGCCCCGGUGGCGCCUUGAAAUCUGCAGCUGGGGGGACGUUGGCCUUAACUGGUCGGCGACCGCACGCCGGCUGCUCGGUUACUGUGAGAAAAUUAGAGUGUUCAAGGCAGGCAUUGGGUGCAAUUGAAUACAUUAGCAUGGAAUAAUAAAAUAUGGCUCCUGCCGUAUUUUGUUGGUUUUGACUGGUGGGAGUAAUGAUUGAUAGGGACGGUUGGGGGUGCUAGUAUUGAGCGGCCAGAGGUGAAAUUCAUGGAUUCGCUCAAGACUAACUUAUGCGAAAGCAUUCACCAAGGACGUCCUCUUUAAUCAAGAACGAAAGUUGGGGGAUCGAAGACGAUCAGAUACCGUCGUAGUCUCAACCAUAAACUAUGUCGACUUGGGAUCGGCGGUAGUUUUUUCAUUAAGACACUGUCGGGACCACGGGAGAAAUCAAAGUGUCUGGACUCAGGGGGAAGUAUGGUCGCAAGGCUGAAACUUGAAGGAAUUGACGGAAGGGCACCACCAGGAGUGGAGCCUGCGGCUUAAUUUGACCCAACACGGGGAAACUUACCAGGUCCAGAGAUGUAGAGGAUUGACAGAUUGAAGCUCUUUCUUGAUCACUUCGGUGGUGGUGCAUGGCCGUUCUUAGUUGGUGGAGUGAUUUGUCUGGUUAAUUCCGUUAACGAACGAGACCUCAGCCUGCUAGUGUAGUCGGCUGGAUUGCCUUUGGCGAUCCGUGAUUUCGACUUCUUAGAGGGACAAUCGACGCGCAGUCGAUGGAAGUUUGAGGCAAUAACAGGUCUGUGAUGCCCUUAGAUGUUCUGGGCCGCACGCGCGCUACACUGCUGGGCACAGCGAGUUUUACUUGGCCGAGAGGCCCGGUUAAUCUUGUGAAAUCCCAGCGUGCUUGGGCUCGCCUCCUGCAACUGGAGGCGCCAACGAGGAAUUCCUAGUAGACGCAGGUCAUCAACCUGCAUCGAUUACGUCCCUGCCCUUUGUACACACCGCCCGUCGUACCAUAAGAGUGAGGCAUCCGGUGAAUUCUCGGGAGAGCCUGGGCGUGGCCAGCAAUGGUCUGCUCGGGUUUGAACUUGCAUAAACUUGGUGCCUAUGAUUAGGG